rnacentral:rRNA from 1 species
UACAGAGGUCCCGAGCGUUGUUCGGAUUCACUGGGCGUAAAGGGUGCGCAGGUGGUUUGGCAAGUUUGACGUGAAAGCCCCGGGCUUAACCCGGGAAUGGCGUUGAAAACUGCUUGAACUGGAGGAUUGGAGGGGGGACUGGAAUUCUUGUGUAGCGGUGAAAUGCGUAGAUAUCGAGAGGAACACCUGCGGCGAAGGCGGGUUGCUGGGCCGACACUGACGCUGAGGCGCGAAAGCCAGGGGAGCGAACGGG